UACGUAGGGUGCAAGCGUUAUCCGGAUUCACUGGGUUUAAAGGGUGCGUAGGUGGGUUUGUAAGUCAGUGGUGAAAUCUCCAAGCUUAACUUGGAACUGCCGUUGAUACUAUAAAUCUUGAAUGUUGUGGAGGUGAGCGGAAUAUGUCAUGUAGCGGUGAAAUGCUUAGAUAUGACAUAGAACACCAAUUGCGAAGGCAGCUCACUACACAAAGAUUGACACUGAGGCACGAAAAGCGUGGGGAUCAAAACAGG
rnacentral:rRNA from 1 species